rnacentral:rRNA from 1 species
CGAAAGCCUGACGGAGCAAGACCGCGUGAGGGAGGAAGGCUCUUGGGUCGUAAACCUCUUUUGUCAGGGAAGAAGACCUGACGGUACCUGACGAAUCAGCAUCGGCUAACUCCGUGCCAGCAGCCGCGGUAAGACGGAGGAUGCAAGCGUUAUCCGGAAUUAUUGGGCGUAAAGCGUCCGUAGGUGGCUCUUCAAGUCUGCUGUCAAAGAGUGGGGCUUAACCCUGCCAAGGCAGUGGAAACUGAAAGGCUAGAGAGCCGUAGGGGUAGAGGGAAUUCCCGGUGUAGCGGUGAAAUGCGUAGAGAUCGGGAAGAACAUCGGUGGCGAAAGCGCUCUGCUGGGCCGCGACUGACACUCACAGGACGAAAGCUAGGGGAGCG